rnacentral:misc_RNA from 1 species
GGAAGUUAACCACAACAACAACUAUUUCAUUGCAGCUAAACAAGAACGUAGCAUGAUCUUACAUUAGCAAUUUCAACAAAGGGCAUCAAAGGCUGGUUCCCCAUAGUUUUGAUGCUGUUAGUGCUACUUAACCUUAGUAAUAUUUUCAUAUUACCUGAACCUUCAGAACCGUCUCAAUGAGCAAAUUUACAAAUAUGUUAUGUACUUUUGAAGCCAUGUCAACAAGCAGUAUUUACAAAAACAUCCGGUAAUUUCAGAGCCAGGUCAAGAGCAAAAUCUAACAUACGAGUGUUAGCUGUGCAUAGGAGGGCUAAGUCCGACUAAGCCUGAUGAGAGGGGUAAGGACUCCUCAUAGAAUCCUUCUGCAAUAUAGGAACCAAAUUACCAGGUGGGCUCUCAAAAAUUGUCAAUCCCAACGGAUGGUCUUCAAAAUGAGAGGCUAACCAAUUAGCACACAAGUUUGCUUCCCUACGAACCUGAAGAAUUUUGCAAUCCCAAUCACGCUUGAUUAGAUUCAUGCAGCAGUCAAUUAGAGCCCUAUUAGGAUCCAGAGUAGCGGUGGCUCUCUUCAGAUACUCUUCCACCUCCACCAGGAUUUUCCUAAAUCCUCUAUUCCAGGCUAUCAGUAAGCCCUGAAAUAAAGCACACAACUCUGCUCCUGAACUUGUUUGACCAUGCAAGUUGAGAGUAUAGCCAACAACCCAUUUGCCAGAUUCAUUUCGUAUAAUUCCACUUGCUCCAGCAACGCCUGAACUUCCCUUAGACUUCCCAGCCACGUUCAACUUGACCCAAUUUGUUGGGGGAGGGCUCCAGCAUGCUGCUCUGUAUGUUUCAACCGGUAACUUGGCACUCAAUUUGCGACUGAAAUUCAGUUGAUCAAAUCCAAAUUUGUGUGCUUCAAUUUUGGACUCCAUUGGACGAAACUGAGAAUAUCCAUCUCCUUUCGCCCCCCGAGGACCGAAGUUUCCCAUUUGGGGUUCCUCUAUAUAUCUGGCCUUAAAUGACAGGUUUCUCAAUUUACGCCUUGACAGGUCUUCUAAACCAGGGGGAAUAAUUUCAACCUCAUCUGCAGUAUCAGAUAACUUCCCCGCUGAGCUUUGCAAGUGGUACAGUUCUUUUGUAACAACCAUAUCAACUCUCCCUAAAGCCUGUCCACCUUCCAUUUCAAUUUCCAUAUCAUCUGUCUCACAGCAUUCCAUGCUGGCAAAAUGGGGCUCCAUAGGAAUUUUAUGACUUUUUGCAUGACGAAAAACUCCCCAUAAGAACUGUUCUGUGCUUGACUUUUCAAUAACACCUUGCAAGUUUCUAUGAAGCAGUUUUGAUGUGAAUACAAUCAACUCCACAUCAUUAAUGCAACUUCUUAUUACAGAAUUUUGGAUUUCCAUAAGCUUGAACAGACUAGCACAGCUAUCUUUGGAUCUACAACAAGAAUUCUACAAUUUAAACUACAUACUUUUAAAAGAAUAAGAUAUAAACCAAGAAAAACAGAUACCUCUCAGUAAUAGCUGAAGGGAGAAAAUAAAGUGCAAUGUCAUGACAAUCUGGAUAAUCAUUCUGGAAUAGAUCUUCCCAAACAUGAUGCCGUGGAAGCAGCUCAACUUGAAGGAUUGUAGGCAUUGUUUGUGACAAGUUAUAGGCUUUACGAUUUACUAUGCAUGGAGGCUGAGCCUGGAACCCACCAUAAAAUUUACCAGGCUUGGUAGUAUCAAAAAACUUGAAGCCUCCCUUCCAAGUAGCACUCAGAGCAGGGAAAUAGGAAUGAUGCAGGCUAAGUUUAGGCAGCAGACUUGUUGAACCUCUUACUUCAGCAUCAGACUUCUUAAAUUCAGCAACAGGACAAGAGUCACUGCCUUCAACUGUUCUUCAUAGAUGACAAGCCAGUCUAUAGGUAUUUGGCUGUUCACCCUUCUGCUCAAUCCACACUUCCAGAGUUUGAAUAAUCCCUUCAGUAUGUGAUAGGCAGUAGCAACUGUUUCAAAGUCGUCCAAGUUCAGAGUCAAGCAGAUGCCUGUAACACUCACUCAUUCUUUAUUCACCUCCUCUUGAGGAAUCUGAGAUGUUGCAGCUACCAUCUCCACCACUGCUAGUUCUUUCCUCAGUUUGGGGAGGUAAAGAUGGAGUUUUCUCAGAAGAGGCUAGCGAAAACAUCACCAGAUUUUGGGGCUUGCUAAUUGUCGUCUAAUUCACUCUUUUUUUCUCACGAAAUCCAACCUAAUAGAAAUGUAUAAAUAGAUAAUGCAAAAUAAAGAAAUUUGGGUCCAAUGGGAUUUCUUACCUUGAAGAGUCUUCGAAGGGGAAAGAUGGUAGAACUCACAAGGGUGAAAGGAAUGAAGCAAACAUAGAAAAUGAGUAAAAGUGGUGCAAAUGCCUUAGCUAAGAGAUACUUACAACCUCAAGUCUGAUGUCUCGCAUUUCAAAAUUCAAAAGACGUGCCUCAAAGACCGAAAGGAAAAAAACAUUUGGGUCCUCUUGGAUGGACAAUUGUUACAGGCGUGUUAGCCUAAUAGAUGCCAACCUUUCUCAAGAUCCAGGCUCUGACACACUGUUAGGACUCUGACAAUCGACACCAUCCCCAUAAUUGAAGUAUCAUGUGUUGAUGUUGAAGAUGUCCCUAGCUGUUUGUCCGCAACUUUCUGUGCAUUUGCAUUGCAAGUGUUGACUUCUUUAGCAAUCACACUACUAUUGCAAUCUCUUACUUCUUUGGCAAGUAAAUUGGCAUUGCAAGUUUUGACUUCUUCACCAGGCUUGAUGGAAGUUAUUUUCUGCUCUAGGCAACUACUUUCCUUCACUGGACUAAUGGUAGCCUUGCAACUAUGUUCCUUCAUAGGAAUGGUGGUAGGCUUUUGUUCUUUUGAUAUUAUGGGUGCCUGUUGACCAGUGAGUGAAUCGAUUUGGAUUCUGCCAUGUCCAGGAGGCUUCAUAAGACCUGAAGAGAUAAUUCUUGGGUUCGGGUUUAACUUUACAGGAGAGAAGUUUGGAGUAACAGAAGAACUAGGUCUGUAUCCCAAAUUACUCUUUAAAGAAGAUGUCCUUUUAGCAGCUCCCGAUGAUAGUCUAAUUACUUCUUCAGUGGGAAGAAAUUUCACUUUGCCAGUUCCUACAGGCUUUUGCCUUUUAGAAUGUCUAUGCCUUCCUAAAUCAUCAUAAAAUUUAGUGGAUCCUCCCCGCAUCACCACAUCAUUGUUGACUAUAUUGGAGGAGUCCUGGAAAUUAUCCUUUCCACCACAUCUGCCUUUUUCUGUUAUACAGUCUUCACAAAUCCAAACUUCAGGUACUUCUUGGUCAAAGACCUGCUUGCAAUAAACAUGUUCACGGGCUAUUCCACAAUUAAUACAAGUUACAAUCAGUUCUCCAUAACCAAGAGCACCACAUAUGUCACAAGGUUUCUCCAGUUGGGUCUCCAUUUGAGAGGAUUCUUUAGUAUUUUUCUUUUGUUUUAUUAAUUCUUUGUGCUGUGGUUGUCUUCUUGGGGAGCGAGAACCAGUGGGGAAAAACAAAGGAAGAACGUAACUGACGAGUGGAGAGCACAGAGGCAGACGAAGAGAUGGGUCAAAGGACGUUGAAUUUUUUGUUGACCCCUCCCUUCUCUCUUUC